rnacentral:rRNA from 1 species
AGAGUUUGAUCAUGGCUCAGGACGAACGCUGGCGGCGUGCCUAACACAUGCAAGUCGAACGGGGUUACACGAGGUGCUUGCACCAUGUGGAACCUAGUGGCGGACGGGUGAGUAACGCGUGAGCAACCUGCCUUUCAGAGGGGGAUAACAACGGGAAACCGUUGCUAAUACCGCAUAAUACCGGAUGAUGGCAUCAUUGACCGGUCAAAGGAGCAAUCCGCUGAAAGAUGGGGCUCGCGUCCCAUUAGGUAGUUGGUGGGGUAAAGGCCUACCAAGCCGACGAUGGGUAGCCGGACUGAGAGGUUGAUCGGCCACAUUGGAACUGAGACACGGUCCAAACUCCUACGGGAGGCA